rnacentral:rRNA from 1 species
GAUGAACGCUGGCGGCGUGCCUAAUACAUGCAAGUCGAGCGAACGGACGAGAAGCUUGCUUUUCUGAUGUUAGCGGCGGACGGGUGAGUAACACGUGGAUAACCUACCUAUAAGACUGGGAUAACUUCGGGAAACCGGAGCUAAUACCGGAUAAUAUUUUGAACCGCAUGGUUCAAAAGUGAAAGACGGUCUUGCUGUCACUUAUAGAUGGAUCCGCGCUGCAUUAGCUAGUUGGUAAGGUAACGGCUUACCAAGGCAACGAUGCAUAGCCGACCUGAGAGGGUGAUCGGCCGCACUGGAGCUGAGACGCGGUCCAGACUACUACGGGAGGCAGCAGUAGGGAAUCUUCCGCAAUGGGCGAAAGCCUGACGGAGCAACGCCGCGUGAGUGAUGAAGAUCUUCGGAUCGUAAAACUCUGUUAUUAGGGAAGAACAUAUGUGUAAGUAACUGUGCACAUCUUGACGGUACCUACUCAGAAAGCCACGGCUAACUACGUG